rnacentral:rRNA from 1 species
CGGACGGGUGAGUAACGCGUGAGAAUUCGCCUUUAGGAAGGGGAUAACAAGGGGAAACGCCUGCUCAAAUCCCAUAUGCCUUCGGGUCCAAAGAGUAAUCUGCCUAAAGAGAAGCUCGCGGCUGAUUAGCUAGUUGGUGGGGUAAAGGCCUACCAAGGCGACGAUCAGUAGCUGGUCUGAGAGGACGAUCAGCCACACUGGAACUGAGACACGGUCCAGACUCCUACGGGAGGCAGCAGUGAGGAAUUUUCUGCAAUGGGCGGAAGCCUGACAGAGCAAUACCGCGUGAAGGAAGAAGGCUUACUGAGUUGUAAACCUCUGUUACCUAAGGAGGAAGAUCUGACGUUACUUAGGAGACGAAGCAUCGGCUAACUCCGUGCCAGCAGCCGCGGUAAGACGGAGGAUGCAAGUGUUAUCCCGAAUCACUGGGCAUAAAGCGUCUGCAGGUGGAUUCUUAAGUCCACUGUUAAACCUUGAGGCUCAACCUCAAUUCAGCAUUGGAAACUGGGAAACUUGAGUAUAGUAGGGGUAGAGGGAAUUUCCAGUGGAGCGGUGAAAUGCGUAGAUAUUGGAAAGAACACCGAUGGCGAAGGCACUCUACUGGGCUAUUACUGACACUCGGAGGCGAAAGCUAGGGGAGCAAAUGGGAUUAGAUACCCCUGUAGUC